UAAUACAGAGGGGGCAAGCGUUGUUCGGAAUUACUGGGCGUAAAGGGCGCGUAGGCGGCCUGCUAAGUCGAACGUGAAAUCCCUGGGCUCAACCCAGGAACUGCGUCCGAUACUGGUUGGCUUGAAUCCGGGAGAGGGAUGUGGAAUUCCAGGUGUAGCGGUGAAAUGCGUAGAUAUCUGGAGGAACACCGGUGGCGAAGGCGACAUCCUGGACCGGUAUUGACGCUGAGGCGCGAAAGCCAGGGGAGCAAACGGGAUUAGAUACCCCGGUAGUCCU
rnacentral:rRNA from 1 species